rnacentral:rRNA from 1 species
UACGGAGGAUCCGAGCGUUAUCCGGAAUUAUUGGGUUUAAAGGGUGCGCAGGCGGGGAUCUAAGUCAGGGGUGAAAGACGGUGGCUCAACCAUCGCAGUGCCUUUGAUACUGGAUUUCUUGAAUGUACCUGAGGUAGGCGGAAUGUGGCAAGUAGCGGUGAAAUGCAUAGAUAUGCCACAGAACACCGAUUGCGAAGGCAGCUUACCAAAGUAUGAUUGACGCUGAGGCACGAAAGCGUGGGGAUCGAACAGG